rnacentral:rRNA from 1 species
GACGAACGCUGGCGGCGUGCUUAACACAUGCAAGUCGAGCGGUAAGGCCCUUUCGGGGGUACACGAGCGGCGAACGGGUGAGUAACACGUGGGUGACCUGCCCUCAGCUCUGGGAUAAGCCUGGGAAACCGGGUCUAAUACCGGAUAUGACUCCAUGACGCAUGUUGUGGGGUGGAAAGCCUUGUGCGGCUGAGGAUGGGCCCGCGGCCUAUCAGCUUGUUGGUGGGGUGAUGGCCUACCAAGGCGACGACGGGUAGCCGGCCUGAGAGGCGACCGGCCACACUGGGACUGAGACACGGCCCAGACUCCUACGGGAGGCAGCAGGUGGGGAAUCUUGCGCAAUGGGCGAAAGCCUGACGCAGCGACGCCGCGUGAGGGA